CAAACACUGCAUGUGGUUCUAAAGAAUAGAACUGAAUCUCAGCCACGGCCCUGCAUACUUAAGAUUAGGAGACAGCUCUGCAUGCACCUCCUCUUGAUGCAAAAAAAUUUAGACCCCCUACAGAAUCCUAUAUGGAAGGAAGAGCUGGAAAAAAAAAUGUGUUCACGGCCUGACGAGCAGAUCGUAUAAAAGAGGCACGAAAUCUGCUGAUCUCAGUAGAAAGCCCCUGAAAGGAAAAUGGGACCUAAUGAAAAUCUGUGCUCUCUGCAAAAGGCGCAGCCUGCUGGAGGUGGGAGGAGCCUUGGACUGAGACCUUGGGAUGACAGUGAAUUAUUUAGCUUCUCUGAGCCUCAGGCAUUACUCUUAAGGUAGGGGCAAUGAUGCCUGCUCUGGGCUACUGCGAAAAACAGAAGGUAUGAAAGUGCUUUGAAAAUGUGAUGUGCCAUAAAGAGAAGACAUGAUUAACGUGAGCCUGGCACUGUGUACUUGGUGGAACUUCAAGAAGGACAAAUGAAUCAAAUAACAAGAGACCAGCCUUUGCAAGCAUUCACCCAAGGUGGUAAAUGGAGAGUUAACCUAACAGCUUUCAAUAUGGCCUCUGGCUGCUUAGAGAACAAACUGUUGUUGGACAUAACUGAAUAUUUAUGGGCAGGGCACUCCUGAUUCUUCCCACAGUCCAAAUAUCCUCCAGUAAGGAAGAGACCUCAGGAGAGUUGUAUCUCUAAGGAGGUCUUAUGUUUGAUAGAUUUAUUGGUUCGUUGGUUGUUGUGUGUUUGUUUUUAACAUUAAAGAAAGGUGAUCACAGACUUUCCAUAGAACAGCUUCUCAAACUGGAAUGGGCACACGAAUUACCCAGAGAACUUGUUAAAAUAUAGAUUCUGAUUCUGCAGGUCUGGGGUGGGGCUGACAUUCUAUCUUUCUGACAAGCUCCAGGGUGAUGACCAUUCUGCAGGUCCACAGACUAUGCUUGAAGUAGCUCAACUGUAAAAGGACAUUUGAGAGAAGCCUAGAAUAAUCUAAGAUAUUGAGUAGUUUAAGAAUAGAAAGGACCGUAAUUUAAAACUCUAAAUCUCUGUAUGAAGACAGUGAGCCCUAGGAUUAGCUGACUUGUUCAGCAUCAGCAGAUCUUUCACUGCCCACAAAAUCAGCCCUCCACCAGUCUUUCUAUCAUGCACACGGCCCUUUUUCCCUCAGCCUUAUUUCCCUGUCUUUCUUUCUGCUCCUCUUGAAAGUAAAGGAGGGAGGAAGGAAGAAAUUAAUAUGAAUGUGGCACAUAAAAUAUAUCCUAGCUAUGAAUUAUGGAAAAUCUCUUACCUAAGGAGAUAAAGGAAGCAAAGAGGAUAAGUUUCUGGGGGGAGGGGGGUAGCUAACCACAUCCCAGUACUUAAUGUCCCACAGUGGUAUUCAACUUAAUGUGAUGAGUGCUUUGUUUCUAAGGGUAGUCUCUGGUGCCUAUGCACAGACCAGUAGACAAAGCUAAACCCCCAUUUUAGUCUGCAUUACCUAUAAGAGGGCAUAUUUCCCGAAGCACCAGAUACCUAACUCACUCGUCUCAUUAGGGCCCUCAGAAGAAAAAUCUCUAAAUCCAAGGAAGGGGGAAAUAAAAGUAAAACAUUUGAAACUGAAGAUUAUCUCCUUCUAUUCUUGGACUAUCUUCUAAAAGGGAAACGAGGGAAAAGUACAAUUGAACUUCAGCUCUGCUCCCAAUCACACAAAUUUAUGUCAUGUUUUAAAAGCUUCAUUAAAGUUUCAGUUUCUUUUGAUGCCAAUUCUCUAACCAGAAGCAUUAAAUUGGGAAUCAUUUAUUUGCAUUAUCUCUUUCUGUCUCACGGGGUUUCACUUAAGAAUAUGAACUAAACCAAAGGGAAGGAAACUGAAAAAGUAAAAAGAAUUGCUUUUGAAAAAAACUAUUAAAACUCGGCAAAUACUCCAGGAUAAACACACGAUUUGCUGUUUUAGAGAUUUGCUACGUUUCCGCCCACAAUUUGACUGCAAAUGGAGUAUUUGAGAAAAAGUUUGGCUCCAAAUAAGGUUUAACACAUACAAGGAAAUAUUUGUUCCCUAGUGCUUCUAUUAUGCCAGUAAAUAUUGAAUAGCAAUGGGUACACUUCACACCAUGAAAAUUUUCCACUUCAGUCAGCACUGUACUCAGGGCCUUUCCCAGUUUCAGCAUUAAAGUUUCACAAGAAAAUGUGCCAACAAUGAUUGUGCUGCUGGAACUCCACAGAACUCUCCUAGGUUAUUUGUAUUUCAUUAUUAAUAUGUAUUUGUAAACACCCUUGCUAAGAUCAGAGCCCUAGCAUAAUUAAGAUCAAAAUACCCUAGCCUUAUUUGGGCACAACCCCCUUUCACUGGGGACUUUCUACACAAGAUAAAUAAUGAGAUAGAUUUAAGGGUUCAGAAUGUUUUUGUUAGACCUAAACAGCUUCUUUCAGUUUGCUGAGGUGCCAUUAACUAAAUAACCACCUACAGAGAUCAGUGUGAUACCUACGAGCCCACAGCAUUAAUGUAACCUUAAAGAUUUACCCUCCUCC
rnacentral:lncRNA from 10 species